rnacentral:rRNA from 1 species
UACAGAGGUCUCAAGCGUUGUUCGGAUUCAUUGGGCGUAAAGGGUGCGUAGGCGGCGCGGUAAGUCGGGUGUGAAAUCUCGGAGCUUAACUCCGAAACUGCAUUCGAUACUGCCGUGCUUGAGGACUGGAGAGGAGACUGGAAUUUACGGUGUAGCAGUGAAAUGCGUAGAUAUCGUAAGGAAGACCAGUGGCGAAGGCGGGUCUCUGGACAGUUACUGACGCUGAGGCACGAAGGUCAGGGGAGCAAACGGG